UGAUCCUGGCUCAGGACGAACGCUGGCGGCGUGCCUAAUACAUGCAAGUCGUACGCUUCUUUUUCCACCGGAGCUUGCUCCACCGGAAAAAGAGGAGUGGCGAACGGGUGAGUAACACGUGGGUAACCUGCCCAUCAGAAGGGGAUAACACUUGGAAACAGGUGCUAAUACCGUAUAACAAUCGAAACCGCAUGGUUUUGAUUUGAAAGGCGCUUUCGGGUGUCGCUGAUGGAUGGACCCGCGGUGCAUUAGCUAGUUGGUGAGGUAACGGCUCACCAAGGCCACGAUGCAUAGCCGACCUGAGAGGGUGAUCGGCCACAUUGGGACUGAGACACGGCCCAAACUCCUACGGGAGGCAGCAGUAGGGAAUCUUCGGCAAUGGACGAAAGUCUGACCGAGCAACGCCGCGUGAGUGAAGAAGGUUUUCGGAUCGUAAAACUCUGUUGUUAGAGAAGAAUAAGGAUGAGAGUAACUGUUCAUCCCUUGACGGUAUCUAACCAGAAAGCCACGGCUAACUACUG
rnacentral:rRNA from 1 species